GUCAUCUACAAGACAGCCACAAAUUAUGUUUCUCCCUGCUCUGAUCACUCUGGUCAACAUUAAACUAGCUGCCGACGGAUGAGAGACAGGAGGCGUGGAACUAAGUUUAUCUCAGAGAAAAGACAUCUAUCCUCCACUGAUCAUCUCUGUAGGUCUCCACACAUCAAGCUCUGCUUAAGGAAGCUACACAAGACCUUUGCCCUUGUAUGGGCGAGGAAGAUGGGGUACAAGGGUCGGGGGCAUUGUUCAUGAAGGAAGCAAAUGAAGCAUACUAAUGGCAUAAUUGGUACACGGUGGAUCAUGCUGUAACCCCGGAUUGCACGGAUACCUCAACAGUGAGCUGACUUAGGAACAGCACGUUGCACUUUGCCUUCCGUAACCUCCCC
rnacentral:lncRNA from 1 species